rnacentral:rRNA from 1 species
AUGCAAGUCGAACUGAUGAAGCUCCAGCUUGCUGGGGUGCGGAAUUAGUGGCGAACGGGUGAGUAACACGUGAGCAACCUGCCCCUGACUCUGGGAUAAGCGCUGGAAACGGUGUCUAAUACUGGAUAUGUCCCAUCACCGCAUGGUGUGUGGGUGGAAAGAUUUUUCGGUUGGGGAUGGGCUCGCGGCCUAUCAGCUUGUUGGUGAGGUAAUGGCUCACCAAGGCGUCGACGGGUAGCCGGCCUGAGAGGGUGACCGGCCACACUGGGCUGAGACACGGCCCAGACUCCUACGGGAGGCAGCAGUGGGGAAUAUUGCACAAUGGGCGGAAGCCUGAUAGCAGCAACCCGCGUGAGGGAUGACGGCCUUCGGGUUGUAAACCUCUUUUAGCAGGGAAGAAGCGAGAGUGACGGUACCUGAGAAAAAGCGCCGGCUAACUACGUGCCAGCAGCCGCCGGUAAUACGUAGGGCGCAAGCGUUAUCCGGAAUUAUUGGGCGUAAAGAGCUCGUAGGCGGUUUGUCGCGUCUGCUGUGAAAUCCCGAGGCUCAACCUCGGGCUUGCAGUGGGUACGGGCAGACUAGAGUGCGGUAGGGCUAAUUGGAAUUCCUGGUGUAGCGGUGGAAUGCGCAGAUAUCAGCUAGAACACCGAUGGCGAAGGCAGAUCUCUGGGCCGUAACUGACCGCUCUACUACGAAAGGGUGGGGAGCAAACAGGCUUAGAUACCCUGGUAGUCCACCCCGUAAACGUUGGGAACUAGUUGUGGGGUCCUUUCCACGGAUUCCGUGACGCAGCUUACGCAUUAAGUUCCCCGCCUGGGGAGUACGGCCGCAAGGCUAAAACUCAAAGGAAUUGACGGGGACCCGCACAAGCGGCGGAGCAUGCGGAUUAAUUCGAUGCAACGCGAAGAACCUUACCAAGGCUUGACUACACGAGAACGGGCCAGAAAUGGUCAACUCUUUGGACACUCGUGAACAGGUGGUGCAUGGUUGUCGUCAGCACGUGUCGUGAGAUGUUGGGUUAAGUCCCGCAACGAGCGCAACCCUCGUUCUAUGUUGCCAGCACGUAUUGGUGGGAACUCAUGGGAUACUGCCGGGGUCAACUCGGAGGAAGGUGGGGAUGACGUCAAAUCAUCAUGCCCCUUAUGUCUUGGGCUUCACGCAUGCUACAAUGGCCGGUACAAUGGGCUGCAAUACCGUCUAGUGGAGCGAAUCCCAAAAAGCCGGUCCAGUUCGGAUUGAGGUCUGCAACUCGACCUCAUGAAGUCGCUAUCGCUAGUAAUCGCAGAUCAGCAACGCUGCGGUGAAUACGUUCCCGGGUUUG